rnacentral:rRNA from 1 species
GUAGGGAAUAUUGGGCAAUGGAUGCAAGUCUGACCCAGCCAUCCCGCGUGCCGGAAGAAGGCCCUCAGGGUUGCAAACGGCUUUUGACGGUGAAGAAUCGACAGGAUGCGUCCUGUUUUGACGGUAGCCGUUGAAUAAGCACCGGCUCACUCCGUGCCAGCAGCCGCUGUAAUUCGGAGGGUGCGAGCGUUGUCCGUAUUUAUUGGGUUUAAAGGUUGCGUAGGCUGGAAGGUCAGUCAGCGGUGAAAAGCUGUCGCUUAACGAUAGUCUUGCCGCAGAUACUUCCGUUCUUGGAUGAGGUGGAGGCCACUGGAACGGAUGGUGUAGCGGUGAAAUGCAUAGAGAUCAUCCAGAACACCGAUUGCGAAGGCAGGUGGCUGUACCUUAAUCGACGCUGAUGCACGAAAGCAUGGGGAGCAAACAGGAUUAGAAACCCCGGUAGUCC